rnacentral:rRNA from 1 species
GACGAACGCUGGCGGCGCGCUUAACACAUGCAAGUCGAGCGAAGCGGCGGACGGGUGAGUAACACGUGAGUAACCUGCCUUAGACAUUGGGAUUGCCUCCGCAAACCGGUAUUAAUACCAAAUGGUCUAAGGUGGACUCGCGUCCCAUUAGCAGGUUGGUGAGGUAACGGCCCACCAAGGCGACGAUGGUUAGCCGGCAUGAGUGGGGGAGCGGGCACACUUGGGCUGAGAAACGGUCCGAACUGUGCGGAGGGGAGCAGUGGGGAACAGUGAACAAGGGAGGAGACUAUGAUGGGGCGAGGCCGCAUAAACGAGGAGGGCAGUCGGGACGUAAAGUACUAUUAUAUGGGAAGCGGUACCAAAAGAAAAAGCCCCGGCUAACUACGUGCCAGCAGCCGCGGUAAUAC